UGGAGCUGGGGACUGAACCCAGGGCCUUGCGCUUCCUAGGUAAGCGCUCUACCACUGAGCUAAAUCUCCAGCCCGCUCCUCUUUCUUUAUCUCUGCACCCCACCCCCUUAAGGUGAUGUCAUCAGUUGCUAUGAAUUUAGAGACUGAAUUUGGUCUAGUGAUGACCAACUGUGUAACUUUCCUGCAGUUGACUGCCUGACUGCUCUGUUGGUAACCUGCCAAGUGCUAGGUUCAGGAAGGGUACCACCAUGUCUGGAACUAAUUGAGCAAAGAUUGACUGAGCACCGUGAUGUUGCAAACAGUGGGACUACAAGGAGAAAAGGCAGCGUAGCCUUGGGCAUGACAUGAGCACACUGCAGUUCUGAGUGUGGCCCAGGACACCAGAGGACUUGCUAGGGGAAGAGCACAUGCCUGGCACGCACUGGCCCUCGGUUCCAUUCUCAGCACUGUUAAAAAAAAGGAGCUGGGUGUAGUGUGCCUUUAAUCCCAGCAGCAGGCAGGAGGCAGAGGUAGGCAGAUCUCUAUGACUUCGAGGUCAGCUUGGUCUAUACCGGCCUCAGCUUUCCAAGUAGUGGGAUUAGAGUCCAUCACCAUGACCACAUGGGCUUCUGAAAUUACUACCUCCAAUUUGCAGAAGAAACUGGGGCCCAGUUAUUAAGGUCACAGCAGUUAUCUGAUGGUUCUCAAAUCUUUCCUGUCCCACAGUGGCCCAUGCUGACAUUGGUCAGGAGACUUCCUGUCUGUUGCUGUUUUAAGUCUCUUCUGGUUAUCCUUUGCUGAAGCGAUGGAAUUUCAGGCCAGUCAAUGCUACCUAAAGACCUUUUCUCCACCAACCAACCAACCAACCAACCAACCAACCAACCAACCAACCAAAAAUCAGUAGGUGGUAAGGGCUAUGACAAGGCUAAAUGAAACCAGAAGCAUAAGAAGCAGCAAAGGGUAACCGGAAGAAGACAUUUAAAACAGCAACGGACAGGAAGUCUCCUCAUCAAUAUCAGAGUGGCUGACUAUGGGACAGUGAAGAUUUGGGGGCCACCGGAUAGCUGCUGUGACCUUACAUUCUGUUCUCCUGUCUCCACUCUUCAGGCCACGAAGGUCUUUUGUGUCAUUGAUGUUGCUGACAAACGCAGACCAGGAUCUUGCAUCGCGUCCCUCCGUUAGGGUCCACUGACAGUGCUUCAUGAUUAGCCUCAGACUGUACACCUCCUGACAAUACUUAGAAAAUAAUGUCCCUUUUUCCUAUCAGCAUGGACAGGAAUCAGUUUCUUAGUUUAGGAGAAGAAUUUCUAAUAAUAAGUAUUCCAGGUAAGAAGAAAAAAAUCCAGAGGCAUCCAAGGAGCCUGGUUUAGCUCGUAUGAGCCACUGCAAUGAGCUCCUUGUUUCCACGGACAGAGGAACAGGAAUGGUUUGAAGGCAGAGGACUCGAAGCCGAGAGGGGGCUACAGAGAGAAUAAUGGCUAACUCUGGAGCCCAGAAUGAGGAGAGGCCAGAAAAAGUGCUGAAGGCAACAGAGCCGGCUUUUAAAUCGCUUACUUAAAAAACUCUCAUUUAUUUCUCUGACACUUAAAGAAAAAAGGUGCCCACUGUGAAAAAUACAAAAGGAACAAAGAAGAAAAUAGCAAAGGCCCGCAGUCGCUGCAGCCCUGUUAAUCUCGCAGGCACAUGCCUUGCCAGCCGCCAGAAAAGCUCUUUCCAAACUCCUCUUGAAGUAGGAAAGCAGGAGAAAGAGCCACGUCUUCCCUGGGGGAUGGUGACGUCAUACUAGCAGAAGCCAGCCCGGAGGACAGCUCGUGCUUUUUUAUCCUCCUUCACUCUGACUGGGCUGUGUGUCUGUGGGCUGGGAGGGACAAGUGACCGGCACCUUGGGAAAUUCAGAUCUGCUGUUGUCAUAUUUGUGGAACUCUCAGACUUCGUCCAUAUGCUUGGAGCUGGGAGAGGAGCUUCCUGGCUUUUAAAGAAAAAAGGAAGGAGAAUGGGCUGCAAACCCAGCCCCAAUUCUUCCUCAGAAAGGGGCAGCAUGCCAGGUCAGGAAGAACCCUCCCUGAGGACAGAGCUGCCGUGGGGGUGGGGGUACAGGAGGGGCCCAGGAACAGGUUCUGUCAAGUUACUGUCUUCAGAGUCUGUGCAGCCCUAGGGACAGGCCUGGGGACAUCCUUGGGCCUGUGGGCUGAGUAUAGGCAGCCGUAGCAAGUAUGAGAGGGGGACCCGGUACCCAGAGGGGGGGUCUAUCUGCUUUUUUGGCUUCAGUUCCCCCUAUGGUGGGGGUCCCAGGGCAGGGCGGGUCGGGAGGCUGAGAAGCAGCCCUCCGGAACUGGGUCUGGUGGGAUGGAAAAUGGCGACACUUUCCAGCAUGCUCACAGCACAUUUAACUGUGCAUGUACUAUGUGGUGCUAUUAAAACAACCCAGACAAACCUUCAACCAGAGGAUUAUCAUAGCCUCUGGUGGACAAAGGAGGAAACAGCCGACAAGGUAAGCGAGAUAGCAUGUAGCCUGUGCCUUACUCAUGUCCUCAGACACCUGGAGGUGACCUCUGACCCUGCCUCUGUGUGCUGGUGGCUUUGUAUAUCUCUGUGGUUGGUGUGUGUGUGUGUGUGUGUGUGUGUGUGUGUGUGUGUGUGUGUGUGUGUGUGUGUGUGUGUUCACUGGGUCUUUUAGAGUGUGAGACAACAGGACAGUAGGGGAUGGUAGAUAAUGGAUUUGUAUGCUUCUUAAUAAUUUGUAUGCUUCUUAUUUUGGCUUUUUGGGACAUGGUCUCACUAUGUGUCUCUGGCUGUCCUGGAACUCACUGAGUAAAGCAGGCUGGCUUCCAACUCAGAGGUUCUUUUGCCUCUGUGUGCACUACCAUGGCUGGCCAAGACUAUAUUAUUUUUUAACUGUGGUAAAACAUAGGACUUUAAAGUUGAGGAUGUAGCUUAAUGGCAGAGCCCUUGGCUAGCAUACAUGAGGACCUGAGUUCGAUUCCUAGCAUCAGACAAUCACAAGCAUAAAACACUGAAUUUAUAUAGAGCCUUUACGUUGCUGAGUGUACACUACAUGGUUAACUGAGUGUACCACGGGAAAUAGAUUUCUAGAACUUGUCACCGUGUGAAACUGAAACUCUACACACUGGAACAACUCCUCAUUUCCUUCUUGCCCAGGCCCUGGUGACCACAUUCUAUUUUUUGCCUGUAUAUAUUUGACCGUUUAGGAACUUUGUAUUAACGGCACCCUGAAGUUUUAUCCUUCUGCAAUUGACAUGUAGCACAGCGCCCUGAAGUCCCACCCAUCUUAUAGACUAUAACCGAAUUUUCCUUUUUUUCCCUUCUUGUUUCCAGAGAUGAUUUUGCCAUAUAGUCUAGCCUGGCUUGGAACUCACUGUGGAGUCUGGCUUUGAACUCUUGAUCUUCUUGCUCCCACUUCCUGAGUGCUGGGAUUGCAGGUGGGUGCCGCUCUGCCUGGUUGAAUUUCAGUCUGUUUGUGGCUGAAAACUUCCCAGUGUUUAUACAUUGCCUUUACUGCCUCAUCUGCUGGUGAAAAUUCAGUUUUCUUUUACCUCAUGGCCAUUGUGGCUGUUGCUGCAAUAAACACAAACAUGCAGGUUGUCUUUUCAA